rnacentral:tRNA from 1 species
GUCCCUGUAGCGUAAUGGAUUUCUAAUCCAAAGGUCAUGGGUUCGAAUCCCACCUGGGAUG